rfam:Schistosoma margrebowiei strain Zambia genome assembly, scaffold: SMRZ_contig0002547
GCACUGCUGAGGAGUCCCACAAUAGGACAAAACGGCCGUCCAAUGC